rnacentral:rRNA from 1 species
CCCGACUGCUAUCAGAGUGAGAUUAAGCCAUGCGAGUUAACGUAGCAAUACGUGGCGCACGGCUCAGUAACACGUAGUCGACAUGCCCAGAGGACGUGGAUAACCUCGGGAAACUGAGUCUAAACCGCGAUAAGUGAGGAUUUCUGGAAUGGUUCCUGACUAAAAUCUAUAUGGCCUCUGGAUUGGACUGCGGCCGAUCAGGCUGUUGGUGAGGUAAUGGCCCACCAAACCUGUAACCGGUACGGGCUCUGAGAGGAGGAGCCCGGAGAUGGGCACUGAGACAAGGGCCCAGGCCCUAUGGGGCGCAGCAGGCGCGAAACCUCUGCAAUAGGCGAAAGCCUGACAGGGUUACUCUGAGUGACUUUCGCUAAGAAAGUCUUUUGGCACCUUUAAAAAGGGUGCAGAAU